AGGAUGACGAAGGCAAACUACAGUGGUUCUUCGUGACUUGAUGCGCAGUGGAUUCCAGCAGUGUGAACUCUUCAUUCCUUGAAAUGGGAGUUUGAUCCAGAACUGUAGAUGCAGAAGCAGGGAUUUGAUGCUACUCGUAUAGAAGGUCUAACAGCUUGUGACCAUCUGAGGCUGGCUGUGGAAGUUGGAGUGUUGGACUUGCAUAUUGGGCCUAUCUUCUGUUGCUACUCGAGUAUUUCAUCCACAGUAAAAUGUGUGUGACUGGUUUUGAAUGUCUUCACAAGCAGAUUGUUUGGGUUCCCUGGCUGCUAGACCCUCCUACCUGUCACUGAGAAUUUAACCUCUGGGAGGUAGACAGUUGUGUUAAUUUGAUGUGAGAAUAAAAGAAUAAAAUGUUGAUAAUU